ensembl:lncRNA
AGCCACCUUCUGGAUUCCAAGGCUUCCUGAAGCCGUUUUCUCCGGGUCCUCUCCCCUGGUGGGUUCAAUCAGGGUUGCAACAGGCUCUGCAGCCCGCCAGGCUCCUCUGUCCACGGGGUUUCCCAGGCAAGAAUGCUGGACUGGGCUGCCGUUUCCUUCUCCGAGGUCUCUCCCCUUACCCCAUGUUUUUGCCGACGGGGACGCUGAAAGAGUGCUGAAGACUCAUUUUCCCAAGGUGGCAUUUCUGGAAACGCCAUAUUUUAGAAGAAUAUGAGAAUUUCCUCUUUAUGGCCACCUGGCCUGUGAGAUGAAGACUUCCUGCAGUUUCAAUCUCUCUCGUCAGAUCCGGGGGUAAAUAGGCUUCAGUCACCCCUGACAAUGGCGUGAGGAACAGCCCCUCCGUAGGAUGGAGCGGCAUUGAUUUUUCAUAAAAGUUUAAUAAGAUGCUACAGGUCAAAAGCUUUGCAAAGUUUGCUAUAAAUUUUAGUGAGGAACUGAGCAAGAUGUAAUUGGAUGAGAAAAUGGAAAUGAAACUUGGAUCAGGGCAGCAGCGCGGAUGGGGGACAGAGACGAGGAGGCCCUCCUACCCUCCCCCUGACCUUCAGGAACGAGGCUCAGGCCUGGCCACUGACCACCUAGAGCACCUGUUACCCCCCGGUUACCUGCAUGUCAGUCACAUCGCUCCGGCUCACUCGAGGGGCACCCGUCCCAUAGGACCCCCAGUGUGCUUUGCAACGAACUUGAUUUCCAGGUUGUACCUUCUGGUUAUGUUUGUUUAAUCCCAGAGUAAAGAACAGUAUAAAUU